ACGGAGGCAGCAGUGAGGAAUAUUGGUCAAUGGGCGGAAGCCUGAACCAGCCAUCUCGCGUGCAGGACUACGGCCCUACGGGUCUUAAACUGCUUUUAUGGGGGGAUAAAGUCGGGCAUGCGUGUCCGUUUGCAGGUACCCCAUGAAUAAGGAUCGGCUAACUCCGUGCCAGCAGCCGCGGUAAUACGGAGGAUCCGAGCGUUAUCCGGAUUUAUUGGGUUUAAAGGGUGCGCAGGCGGCCCGUUAAGUCAGCGGUGAAAUGUCGGGGCUCAACCCGGGCACUGCCGUUGAAACUGGGGGGCUUGAGUACGGAUGAGGUCGGCGGAAUGUGACGUGUAGCGGUGAAAUGCAUAGAUAUUACUCAGAACACCGAUCGCGAAGGCAUCUCACGAAUCCGACAUUGACGCUGAGGCACGAAAGCGUGGGGAUCAAACAGGAUUAGAUACCCUGGUA
rnacentral:rRNA from 1 species